GAUCUUCUAAACCUAGAAGAAAAAUUAUGACAGACACCUUAUGAAUCAAUAGUAUAUAUCAGUGAAUUGAUAUUAGUUAAUAGUUUUUGGAAACAGUACCAUAUGAACUUUCUUACUUCGGUUGGAGGAGAUGAGAAACAACUUACAGCGGCAAUCUU